rnacentral:miRNA from 1 species
UCUCCUUUUCCAUCUCC